rnacentral:rRNA from 1 species
AGCGUAUAUUAAAGUUGUUGCAGUUAAAAAGCUCGUAGUUGAAUUUCGGGAUUAGUACGUUGGUCGUGCCUUCGGUACGUACUGGUGUUACUGGUUCCUACCUUCUGACGAACCAUCAUGUCAUUAAUUUGGUGUGGCGGGGAAUCAGGACUGUUACUUUGAAAAAAUUAGAGUGUUUAAAGCAGGCUCGCGCUUGAAUACAUUAGCAUGGAAUAAUGAAAUAGGACGUUGACCCUAUUUUGUUGGUUUCUAGGAUUGACGUAAUGAUUAAUAGGGAUAGUUGGGGGCAUUAGUAUUCAAUUGUCAGAGGUGAAAUUCUUGGAUUUAUUGAAGACUAACUACUGCGAAAGCAUUUGCCAAGGAUGUUUUCAUUAAUCAAGAACGAAAGUUAGGGGAUCGAAGACGAUCAGAUACCGUCGUAGUCUUAACCAUAAACUAUGCCGACUAGGGAUCGGAUGAUGUUAUUUUUAAUGACUCAUUC